rnacentral:rRNA from 1 species
AUUGAACGCUGGCGGCAUGCCUUACACAUGCAAGUCGAACGGCAGCACGGGUGCUUGCACCUGGUGGCGAGUGGCGAACGGGUGAGUAAUUCAUCGGAACAUGUCCUGUAGUGGGGGAUAGCCCGGCGAAAGCCGGAUUAAUACCGCAUACGAUCUACGGAUGAAAGCGGGGGACCUUCGGGCCUCGCGCUAUAGGGUUGGCCGAUGGCUGAUUAGCUAGUUGGUGGGGUAAAGGCCUACCAAGGCGACGAUCAGUAGCUGGUCUGAGAGGACGACCAGCCACACUGGGACUGAGACACGGCCCAGACUCCUACGGGAGGCAGCAGUGGGGAAUUUUGGACAAUGGGCGAAAGCCUGAUCCAGCAAUGCCGCGUGUGUGAAGAAGGCCUUCGGGUUGUAAAGCACUUUUGUCCGGAAAGAAAUCCUUGGCCCUAAUACGGUCGGGGGAUGACGGUACCGGAAGAAUAAGCACCGGCUAACUACGUG